rnacentral:misc_RNA from 1 species
GAUGAAGAACGUAGCGAAAUGCGAUAAGUAGUGUGAAUUGCAGAAUUCAGUGAAUCAUCGAAUCUUUGAACGCACAUUGCGCCCGCUAGUAUUCUGGCGGGCAUGCCUGUUCGAGCGUCAUUUCAACCAUCAAGCCCCAGGCUUGCGUUGGGGGCCUGCGGCUGCCGCAGCCCCUGAAAAGCAGUGGCGGGCUCGCUGUCAUUCCGAGCGUAGUAGUUACAUCUCGCUCCGGGCGUGGCGGUGGGCACCUGCCGUGAAACACUCUAUCUAAGGUUGACCUCGGAUCAGGUAGGAAUACCCGCUGAACUUAAGCAUAUCAAUAAGCGGAGGA